UUUCGAUGCUGAGUCAUUCUGAAGUCCUUCAGACAUACCAGGCUCACCCGCAAGUCUUUGGAGUCCCUCAGCACGGUUACCUAGCUGGAUGAUGCACGUGGAUGUGGCUUGACUUCUCAAGAGGAGAUUCCUUCGCACUUGUUAC
rnacentral:lncRNA from 1 species